GGAGCGACGCCGCUGCAAUCAAAUUCAGGUGCGUGGGUCGCACACUGGCACCCAAUUGACAUUCCUCCUCUAGCUGUAUAAAAGGGGAUCAUGGCAGAAGGAGUAGGAGAACCAGCAGCAGUACCCGAUGAUCGAGAGCAACAGAGAGCGAGCCACAGACGACGAAGACGCGACCGACUGAAGGCGCCGUCAUAUAUAAAUAGCGGAAAGCUUCUCCGAGAUGUUAUCCAACGUGCGUUUCAACUCAGAAAUGGCCCAAAAGUCUGAGUGCCCCCGCUCUGCCCCGCCCCUCCAUCAGGAAGGGCGGUCCCUGGGCUCCUUGAAUGACUGCAAUCAUCUUCCAGAGCAGCGGCCGGUCAAAUGGCGCAGGUUUCAAACAGAAACAUCUUCAAUGUAAAAAGCAGCCUAAUAUUUCCAGUACGGGAUGUGAACAUGUCCGAAAAGGAGCAGGAAGAAGCAGUUUGUUCACUUCUACACACUUCCUCAAGCACUUCUUACACAUCCUUCACUUCCUGGACUCAGUCUGUUACACAAAUG